GUUUUUUUUUCUUUUCCCUGAGAUGGACUUCUGGAUUCUUUGCUACGUGUUCUUCAAUCCAAGUUAUUCUCCACUCUGAAACUGUUUCAGCCGUGGUGUUUCAUGUGCAUCCGUCACCAGCAGCAGAAUAUCACCAGUAUUUAUCAGAGCAAAUGUCACCGCCCCCUCCCAGAGUCAGGACCAUCUCACCUGCUUUUAGAGCGUAUUCAAUAACGCUCUCCUCAAUCAGAGGCCAUAACAUCCGCCGUGAAAUCAGCCAAAGUGUUUGGCAAAGGCUAAUAUUCACCUGAUGGAUUGGUUGGUCACGGCUUGAUGAAAUAUCACCAUUGAAGACAAAAGAAAUGCCUUUUGAUGUUUGCAGUGGGAAAUGAAAAAGGGAAGAAGAGGAGAGGUCGGCGUCUGGAGACGUACGCAGGAAUGUGACGGGGAUUUUAAGAGAUCGGCUGCAGAAAUAAGAAGAAAUAAAACUGGUCUAUAACAUUUACAAAGGAACGAAGGAAGAUGGAAACCGUCCCGUGUCCAGACAGACGGUGGACAGGACUGACCGAUGAGGAGGUGAAACUGAAACAGUCACAAGAACUAAAACAAAGUCCUUCCUCUCCAUGACAUUCCAUACGUCAGGAGAUUCUUGGGACGUCCACCUGGAACGGGAUC